CGGUGGCGUUAUAAAUAGAUACGUUCUUUCACUCGUCCCGAUAUCAACAAACCAAACCCAAUUACCGAUAGCCUAACUCCCUACCCAAACAUCGCCGUCCUUCUCCGGAGAUAUACAAAACCAUCGUUUCAGAAUCAGAUACACAUAGCCUUGUUUUCCAUCAUUCUGUUAUCGAAAGACCCAAACACUCCAUGAAAUUAUCAACAUCUCUAAUGUGCAUCAGAAUGUGCAUCUGUCUGAAACAAACGCCCCUUAAGAGAAAUGGUUUUGCAAACAUCACAAAAACACCCUAUGAAAUGUGUGGUACAACAUUUAGGAGUUGAUCUAAUAGAUUAGAUAGCAAAAUGUUGUAAUCGUAUUGUUUAUAAUCCAGAUAAAUGCGAUCUUGUUGCAUCUGCUACAUGCAACAAGAUAACAUGUAUCUAGCACAUGCAACAAGGUCACAUUUAUCAGGAUUAUAUACAAUCUGAAUGCAAUGUAUUGCUAUCUACUCUAUUCUAUCACCUCCUAAAACUCUAUGCACUACAAAACUUUGCUACAACCAUAUCAAAUCCUGGAAUCCUGUUUAAAUAGCUUUGGUGUAUAAAGAGCGUAUGAUUUCAACACAAAAGGCUUCAGAGACUAACCAAACCACAAACCAAACUGUUAUUGGUUGUGACAAGGAUGACCGGAGCAGUGUGCAAGAUAUUAAACCAAAUUUUACUUUGCUUAUAACUCAAUUUACAUGCAAAAUGUCUAAUAGGGUAAUAGUUGAAAAGCCUUUCCAUAUUGUUUCAUGUGAUUGAAUCAAUGUUAUUUAGAAGCGAUGAAUGAGAACAUACAGGUUGUUUCUUUUUAUAUCCUAUUAUGUCUUUGUAAGGGUAAAUUUAACAAAUAUGUAAAUAUAGUUUUAACCUAGUAAUUAGUGUUGCAAAAGUCGUUAGGCGGGUAGUAUUCGGGGAGUACACGGAUACGGUAAAUUAUAAAGCAAUUAAUUUUGGGAAAAUUAUCAUAUAGAAAAUAUCAUAAGUUAAUUAAAAUUUAUUACAAAAUAGGUAAGUAUCAUAAGUUCAUUAAAAGUUAGAAGUGUUAAACCACUCGAAAAUUGAGAUUUAUUUGUUAAUAUUAGAGUAAUAAAGUGAUCAUCUAAUCUUUGUCUUUCAAGUUAGCUAUGUGUUGUUCAUUGAUGUUAAGUCCAUCCGAUUCAUAUUCAACUUCUUCAUUCAUUUCCCCUUCAUCCUCUGACAAAAAAUUUUCCUCAUCAAGUUCUCUCAAUCUAGAACUUCUUCGAUUUUGUAAAGAUUCGUCAUCUCCCAUGUUUUCACUGAUCGCGUCAACUUCAUCAACGAUAUCACAUUAAACAAUCCAAUCUUGAGCCUCACUUAUAUCAUUCGCUAUUACUACCUCCAUAUUCUUUGGUUUUUUUUUUAUUUUUUUUAUUUUUUUAUUUAUUUUUUUUUAUCAAAUUUGCAUUAAAUUGCACAAAAUCAAAAUUGUUUAAUUUAGUCGUAUUUAGUCUAUUUAUUUUCUUUGUGUGUAUCUACACAAUAAAACUAAAAAAAAAACAUUUAAUAAAUAAUUAAAUAUAUGAUUUCUUAAAUUGAAUUAUAUAACAAUUAUAGACUUCUAGUAAAAAAAAUAGUUAAUUGCUAACCCCUCAAAAAGUGCUCCAAUUUCUUUCAGAUCCGGACAAACUAGUUGGUGAAAAAAUUGGAGCACUUUUGAAGGGUUAAUAAUUAACUAUUUUUUUUACUAGAAGUCUAUAGUUAUUAUAUAAUUCAAUUUAACAAAUCAUAUAUUUAAUUAUUUUUUACAUGUUUUUUUAGUUUUAUUGUGUAGGUACAUACAAAAAAAAGAAAUAGACUAGAAACGACUAAAUUGAACACUUUUGAUUUUAUGCAAUUUAAUGCAAAUUUGAUGGAAAAAAACAAAAAAAGAAAAAACAAAGGAUAUGGAGGUACUAAAAACGAAUGAUGCAAGUGAGGCUCUAGAUUAGAUUGUUGAAUAUGAUAUCAUUGAUGAAGUUGAUGCGAUCAGCGAAGACCUCAGAGAUGAAUCUUUACAUAAUUGAAGAAGUUCUAGAGAGAACUUGAUGAGGAAGAAUUUGUGUUUGAGGAUGAAGGGGAAGUGAAUGAAGAAGUUGAAUAUGAAUCGGAUGGAUUUAACAUCAAUGAACAACACGGAGCUAACUUGGAAGACGAAAAUUAAAUGUUUACUUUAUUACUCUAAUAUUAACAAAUGAAUAUCAAUUUUUGAGUAGUUUAACACUUUAACUUUUAAUGAACUUAUGAUAUUCACCUAUUUUGUUAUAAAUUUUAAUUAACUUCUGAUAUUUUCUAUAUAGAUAAUUUCCCCAAAAUUAAUUGUUUUAUAAUUUACUUUAUCCGAGUACUUCCUGCCUAAACCAAAUACUCGCUACUCGCCUGUUGUCGACUGCUCUGGGACCGCCUAAUGACUUUUGCAACACUGAUUUUAUAACAUUAUUCUUUCACAUGACAUUGUACUUUCAAAACCCAAGUAAUUAAAACAUUGUAUUUUUUCAUAUAUAUUUUAAUAGAACAUUGUAUUUUUUUUAGUUAUUUUGUAAUAAUAUAUUGUACAUUAACCAAUUAUUACUUUGUACUUUUCGUUGUAACAUUUUACUUUCAAAAUCCAACAUAUGAAGACAUUGUGCUUCUAUUUUUAUUUCUGUUACAAUAUUUUUCUUUAAAAAUUCAGAUUUAACUAGAUUUGGAUACCAACAAUAACAUUAUAGUUUAAAUUGUUUUUGUUCUGUUAAGAUACUGCAUUUGAUAUAGACAUUGUAUAUUGAAAAUGUAACAACUUAUAGCAUUAUACUCUUAAAAAUAAAACCUGUUAAGAUAUUGUACUUUCAAAACUUGUUCCAGUUAAGACAUUGCAUUUUGAAAGUCAAAAAUCUAAACCCAUUAUAGCAUUACAGUUUCAACAUCAAACCUAUUAAGAUAUUGUAUUUCCAAAUUUUAAGAUUGUUUGAUUUUGUUUACCAAUUAUAGCAUUAAACUUUCAACUCUUUUUCUCAUUAAGACAUUGAGCUUCGGAAACUUGUUUGACUUUUAUGCUUUUCUUUUUCUGUCAAGACAUUGUUUUUUUUUUGUCUUUUUGAAAUCUACCUUUUUUUUUUUUUUUUUUUUUUUUUUUGAAAUCUGAAACUUGUUUGAAUUUGGAAUUCAUUUGUUUUUUGGUUAAAUUUGUAUGGUUAUUGAUUUUGUUUGGUUUUGGGUAUGGAUUUUUUAACUUGAAAAAAUUGGUGGAUGAUUGUUUGGUAUAAUAGACCGAUUCUCCAUAUAAGUCAGACCACAUCCUUUCCAUCGAUUCUAAUCAAAUCACUCCCUAAAACCUCUCUCCACAUAUCUUUGAAUGGAUUAUAAUCGACAGAUUCUCCAUAUAAAUAUGUUACUUAAACAACCACCCAAAUAAUUUUGAAAUGAUUAAUAUGGGCAGGAAGAUUUGUAAAAGAAUUGCAUUGAACUCAAAUGCUAUCUAUUUAUUACUAAACUUUUGAAUGUCAAAUGAGUUGAUUUUACUUCAAAACAUGACAAAGUUAUUAUGGGCAACAAUUUACAACUUAUGAGUCGGAAAAAUGAAUUUUAUUAAGUAUUGGCAUUUCAAUCAUUAAAAAAAUGAAGUCCUUUUGAGAUGGAGGAAGUAGAAAUUAAUAAAAGUAUAUAGGCAUAUACACAACCACAUGUUCCAUGAUUGCCAAUAUAACUUUCUAAUCUUUUCAUGCAAUUGUGUAAUUGAAGAUUCAUUUGCUCUAAAUGCAACAUCAUCAAUAUCGAUAAAUAAGACCAUACUUUAGAUGGACUGAAUAUUAUUGGGAUAAUUCUUGGAUAUUGGAAUGAAUACCAGGUUUUGAACGAAAACCAUAAAGUAGUUUUUCUAAAGGUUCACUGUGUAAUAUAAUAAUAUAAUGUUUCUAUAAAAAAUGCAGAAAGAAAAGAUAAUAUGGUAGAAAUGUGACUUGUUAUAAAGUAGUUUUUUUAGUAGGGGCAAAAUAAUCAAUUUUUGUAUUUCUACAUAAUGUAGUUAUCAUGGUGUUUCCAUUUUGAUAAUGAAAGUAAUUAUAAGUGUCACAAAGAUAUGAAAAUAUUCAAAAAUUAAAUAUAAAGUUAAUGAAAGCCUCGUAUUUGGAUAUUGUUCAUUUCGAUUAUUUUUAUAAACAAACAAAAUCAAGUUAAAUUUAAGAUCAUGAUGAAAGAAAACACAUACAAAUAUAAAUAUUGUAAAAGAGAUACAUGUAACAUGUUCUUUGAUUUUUCAUGUAGUAUGUGCGAGUUAGAUGUAUGUAAAUAAGACACACAAAUGACUUAUAUGUUUAGUUCUAAAUUGAGAAAGGGAAAUUUCAAAAUCGAAAUAAGAAUAUAUAUAAAUUAAUGAAGUAGCACGACAGACUCUAGUUUCUCCUUCCUUUGCAAACCCUUUUGGAAUCUUCAUGUACACUUCUUCGUCUAAGUCUCCAUGUAAGAACGCAUUGUUGAUGUCCAGUUGAUGGAUGAUCAAAAGUUUCAUGAUAGUCUAUUCCUUCCAUUUGUGUGAAACCCUUUGCAACGAGUCUGAAUUUGUAUCUUUCAACCUCUCCAUUGGAUUUGAACUUUAUCUUGUAAAGCCAUUUUGAGUCUAUAGGUCGCUUUCCUUUCGGCAAUUUUUCUAAAGUCCACGUCCUAUUCUUUUCAGAGCCUUUAUUUCUUGAUGCAUGACAUCCCGCCAUUUCUCAUCCUGUGCAACUUGUUCAAAACAACUUGGUUCUUGAUUAGAACUUAUUGCCGUUAAAAAAGCUUUGUGAGAAUGAGAAAAUUUAUCAUAAGAAACGAAAUGAGAAAUGGGGUGUAUCGUCGAGUUUGCUUGACUAGAGUCGGGUUGUGAGUUGGUGACCGAAGGGGGAAGGUUCACCACAUAUUCAUUGAGACGAGUCGGUUGUAUUCGUACCCUUUUGCUUUUUGGUUCCGAUUCAUUGUGAGGAAUGGCGUGAUCUUCUUGGAUUUCUUGAUCCAAAAUGGGGUUGCCAUUUUCAAAUGAAUCAUCCUCAUGUUGAGCAUUGUUUUCUUCUUCGGUUCUUGUAUCAUCAGAUGUGGUGCUAGGACAAUCUUGUGAAGGAUCAUCAAAACAAUUUUUUCUCUCACCACCGUCCAAGUCGGAGUUAGUGGACUCAAAAUGAACUUUGGUUGGUUCUCUUUGCUGCAAUCAAAGCUUCCGGAAAUGUGCUUGAAGGGAAAAUUGUCUUCAAGAAAUAAUACGUCACGACUCACAAUGAUUUUUUUUUACUUUCAAUGUCAUAAAUUUUGUAUCCCUUUGUUCCUUGCGGGUAACCUAAAAAAACUUUGGGUUUCCCUUUUUCUUCAAAUUUGUCUCCUCCGGUGUUGGUGUUUUUAAAAUAAGCUAAGCAUCCAAAGACUCUCAAAUGCUCAUAAUUAGGUUCUUCAUUCCAAACAAGUUCGUAAGGGGUCUUGUUUCCAAUUACCUUCGAUGGGAGUCGAUUUAUUAUGUAUGCAAUGGUUAAAAUACAUUCUACCCAAAAUCUUUUUGGAAUAUUUUCCUCGAAGUGUAAGGCACGUGCUGUCUCGAGCAAGUGUCUGUGUUUCCUUUCCACAACCCCGUUUUGUUGAGGGGUGUGGGGGCAAAUGGUUUCUAACAAAAUUCCGUUUUUCUCAUAAAAGGCGAUCAUGGCGUUAGAUGUGAAUUUCCCACCGUUAUCACACCUAACCCUUUUUAUUCGUUUUUCAAAUUGAACCUCAACCAACUUAUGAAAAUUCAUUAGGCAUUGACUAGCAUCGCUCUUGUGUUUUAUUAAGAAAACCCACACCGAUAGCCUCCCUAAAUAUCACAAUGGAUAAGUUCAAAACAACGAUUGGUUUUAAUAUAACUCUUCAGAAAAGGGUUACGAACAUGUUUGGCCUUAGCACACGAAUCACAAAAGACAUUGCUAAGUUUACUAGAAUUAUUUUUAAAGAGAUUGACAUUGGAGAGAUUAUCCCUUGAAGUAUGUCCUAAUCUUUUAUGCCAUGUAUCCGUGGUGACGAUCAUUGCUUGUCUUCCUUUCUUGAACAUGUCCAUGAGAUACAACCCCCCUUGGCACCUACCCGAUCCAAUCAAGCUCCUUGUUUGAAGCCCCCGCAUGACAAAAAAGGUAGGGAAAAAGGUUACAACACAUUUGAGAUCUUUUCAAAAUUUGCUAACAGAAAGGAGGUUAUGUUUAAAAUUAGGGAUAUAAAGAACCCCUUUUAAUUUUUCUCCCUCUGGCAACAAAAAAUCACCCUUUCCCUCAACAGGAAUGGUAUCGUCAUUUGGUAUGACGACAGUAGCUUCAUUUGAGAUUCCCUUCUUAUUUUUAAGAAGGUUGGAUUUGUAAAUUAUGUUUUCGGUGCAACCUGUGUCAACAACCCAUACAUCGUCCCUAUUACAUGUCAUAUUGGCCUCGGGUUUUGUCUCACCAUUGUUGCUCAAACUCGAAAAGAACUUCAUAAACUCUUGGUAUUGUUCUUCAUUUAAUCCGGGUAUGGAGCUUGCUUGGGUGUUAACACAUGCAACUUUUGGUUUUGUCUUGUCGUCUCUCUUCCCGGGCCACCAACGGGAUAACCAACUAGUUUGAAACACCAUUCUUGUUUGUGCCCGUUCCUUCCACAAAAAGUGCAUUCAUCGUCAUGCUUGUUUUCUUUUUUCUUGUUUGGCCGUGUGCUUCCCUUUCGCUGGUAUGAAAUCACAUUUCUGGAAAGCUUUGAAUGCAGCUGGUUCUGGAGUGGCUUGGUUCUCAAGUGAUAUGGCCCUUUGUCUUUCAUCUUCUGCCACCAUGUGAUAAGCCGUCCCUAGAGUAGGAACGGGUUUUGUUGCUAAGAUUUGGGUCCCGAUAACAUUGAAAUCGUUGUCUAGGCCCAUAAGAAACUCAUAAAGUUGUUGUUUCUCAAGAUGAGCGGUGAUUUUCUUUCCUAGUUCACACGUACAUUUGUUACAUGAACAACAUGGAAAAGCAAAAAUUGAAUGAGACUCAUCCCAUAAUGACUUGAGACGGGGUGUAGUAGGUCGAAACGCUGCUGUCCUCUUGACAUGUAGUGGCGAUCUUCUGCUUUAGUUCAUAAGCCCUUGGUGCACUUUCUUUCCCAAAUCUUUCUUUCAGGUCUGACCAAAUCUCUAAUGAUGUGUUGGCGUAUUUCACGCUGUCACGUAUACCUUUCUCCACGGCUGUGGUAAGCCACCCCUUUAUCAUUGCAUCGCACCUCAUCCAUGGUUUGUAUUCUGGAGACGAAAUCUCUGGUUUCUUCGAGGUUCCAUCAAUGAAAUCUGUUUUGUUUUUGGCAAAGAGAAAAUUGGUCAUCUCUCGUACAGUCGUACCCAAUCGUUGUAGUUUCCAUAUGUAAGAACCUAAUUUACAGAAGGUUGCUUAGGAGAAUCUGAAGGAUGUAGGUAGUAUGGAGAUGAGCAAUCGAUGGUGCUAGAUCCACCUUUGUCACCUUCGUUUCCGGUUAUGAUGCUGUGAUCAAUUGAUUUUAAAACCACUUUGAUACCAUCUAGAAAUCAAUGGUGACACAGAACAGGAGAAUAAAGUUUUUUUUUGAUUGAUUUUUCAUUCAACGAUUACAACCAGAGAGACAAAAUAAAUAAGCUAAGCAAACACAAAAAAAGGAAAGAAGAUAAUUGAUUGACCAAUAUUUAGGGAGUGAAUAUAUGGACGAAAAUAGAGAAUCCCAUAGUAGCAGCCACCUGACGGCCUAAUACCUCUUAACAGUACGAAUCUUAUUUUCAACAAACAAAUAGUAUGUUUGACAUAUAUACCCAAAACAGAACCAAGAGGGAAAAAAACACCGGACCUUGAGAAAAAAUGGAGUUAGCAUAACAUCAGUUUUAUACAUUUUUAGUUGACUUUAACAGUCAAUAUCAAUAACAUUAAUCAUAGACACAUACAUACAUACAACAUCAAAAAUUGUGAGAAGAUAGAUAUUAUAGGGAUUUUGUUUUUUCUUUGAAGCAAUUUAUCAUUAACACAUGCAGUGCAACA